rnacentral:rRNA from 1 species
GAAUUUGUCAGUUGGUCGGGCUUCACUGUCCGUAUUGACUUGAUGGAUUCUUACCUUCUGAAUAACCAGCAUGCUAUUAAUUCAGUGCGUUGGGGAAGCAGAUCUAUUACCUUGAAAAAAUUAGAGUGCUUAAAUCAAGCUAGUGCUUGAAUAGAUUAGCACGGAAUAAUAAAAUAGGACGGCAUGGUUCUAUUUUGUUGGUUUCUAGGAUCACCAUA